rnacentral:lncRNA from 1 species
UGAUUCCUCACUGUUCCGCCAUCGUGGGCAGUGGCCUCCUCCACCGGCUAUGACUGCAGGGAAAAGGUCAAACUGAAGCCAUUUCAUCACAGGGCCUUCUGCCUCCUUAAGAUUGUGAAGAUUUAAUGCUGUAAUCCGGCUCCUAGAAGGAAAUGUAAUACAUCAGCAGCUCCUGAUAUAAGAAGGACAAUUUGCCCAGGAGGAAAUGCGCUCAUGGAUAGAAGCUGAUUUUCAUAGGCUCGCUGAUGUCUGCAAGGAUUCCCGUCUCCUAGGGCCUUUCAUCAACAAGAAGAGGCACAUUUUUCUUUCCCCAAUCAAGACAGACUUUUCAUGGCAGACCAAUUCGGCAGUAUUCUUCCUAGAAGCUCAGUCUGAGAGACAAGAAUGCUCCUUUCCUCUGAGUGAAAAUAUGCUAUCCCUGGACUGAGGGUCUUCUGACCUGUUUCGGGGGAGAAGGGCAGGAGAAGGUAGGAGAGUAACUUCUGAUGUUUCAUGACCUGCCUCAGGAAAGGAGGGAAGGGUGUGUGGUG